AGUUGGGCCGCUGGGGCGCGGGUGUCCCAGGUUGGGGCAAAGGGGGCCUUUUAAUUCUUAGAGUAUCUUGAAAGGUGAUGCCGCACGGAAGAGAGGCUCUUGUCAGGAUGGUGAAGCUGUUCAUUGGAAACCUGCCCCGGGAGGCCACAGAGCAGGAGAUCCGCUCGCUCUUCGAGCAGUAUGGGAAGGUGCUGGAGUGUGACAUCAUUAAGAACUACGGCUUUGUGCACAUAGAGGACAAGACGGCGGCCGAGGAUGCCAUACGCAACCUGCACCACUACAAGCUGCACGGGGUGAACAUCAACGUGGAAGCCAGCAAGAAUAAGAGCAAAGCUUCAACCAAAUUGCAUGUAGGCAACAUCAGUCCUACUUGUACCAACCAAGAGCUUCGGGCCAAGUUUGAGGAGUAUGGUCCAGUCAUCGAAUGUGACAUCGUAAAAGAUUAUGCCUUUGUGCACAUGGAGCGGGCAGAGGAUGCAGUGGAGGCCAUCAGGGGCCUUGACAACACAGAGUUUCAAGGCAAACGAAUGCACGUGCAGUUGUCCACCAGCCGGCUUCGGACUGCCCCUGGGAUGGGAGACCAGAGUGGCUGCUAUCGGUGUGGGAAAGAGGGGCACUGGUCCAAAGAGUGUCCGGUAGAUCGUACGGGUCGCGUGGCGGACUUUACCGAGCAGUAUAACGAACAGUAUGGAGCAGUGCGCACACCUUACACCAUGGGCUACGGGGAAUCCAUGUAUUACAACGACGCGUAUGGAGCGCUCGACUACUAUAAGCGUUACCGAGUCCGUUCUUAUGAGGCAGUGGCAGCAGCAGCAGCAGCUUCCGCGUACAACUACGCAGAGCAGACCAUGUCCCAUCUGCCUCAAGUCCAGAGCACAGCUGUGACCAGUCACCUCAACUCCACUUCUGUUGAUCCCUACGACAGACACCUGUUGCCAAACUCAGGCGCUGCUGCCACCUCAGCUGCUAUGGCUGCUGCCGCUGCCACCACUUCCUCCUAUUAUGGAAGGGACAGGAGCCCCCUGCGUCGUGCUGCCGCUGUGCUCCCCACAGUUGGAGAGGGCUACGGUUAUGGGCCAGAGAGUGAGCUGUCUCAGGCUUCAGCCGCUGCACGGAAUUCUCUGUAUGACAUGGCCCGGUAUGAGCGGGAGCAGUAUGUGGACCGAGCACGGUACUCAGCCUUUUAAAAACUGGAGGUGAGAGUGGGGUGGGUGUGGUUAAGAGAUUCCAUUUAGUUCCCCAGGAGGGAGACCUGUGCCCCAUAGAGGAGGCUAAAGCCACCUGUUUGCUGUCAGGACAGUAUCCAAAAGGUAUAAAUUGCAUGUUAGUCUUAAGUAUUUCUCUAACUUAGGCCAGGGGUUCAUUUGGCCUGUUGAGGUUUUAGUUUGCAACUCGAACCAACCAUUUGUUCCUUCUGAGAGAACAACAGCAACUCAGUUUGUUAGUAAGAAUAUUGUUCUUUAAUCAAGUGUAAGCAGAUCUGGGUUACAGAGACAUAGUUAAGAGAACUAACACUUGUUGAGUGCCCUCUUUGUACAUUAUAUCAUUUAAUCAUACAGCUAGCCUUUAAGAUAUUUUCUUUUAUGGAGAAGGGAACUAAGGCUCAGAGGGGUUAAGUACUUUGCCUAAAGUCAUUUGGUAACUGAGAGGUAGAGCCAGAAUUCAAACUCAGGCGUGCCUGAGUCCAAAACCAUUUUCUCUUUGCACCACAAAAGUCACUGUAGUGUAUGCUGAAGAGUACAGGUUCAGGAGUUAAUAAUGAAUGUCACCAGUGAGAAUUUAAGCUAUAACUUCAGGCUUCCAGUUUGCUAAUAAAACUACUACUUCGGUCAUGAGCCUUUAUCAGAGGAAACUCUUCUAAUAUAUCUAUAAGCCACAUAAAAUCCUCUAAAUUCUAGGUGUUUAGUUCCAGGAUACUUGCCUGAAAGCAGAACGUUUUGAUGCCACUGUCCCAUGGUGUCCCUUCCUUGUUAGUAAUCCAGAGCAUCGUGUUCUGUGUGGGCACUUAAGCCGUAUUUCUGCAUGGCUUAUGCUAUCAUUUAGAGCCUGACACUUCCCAUUUCUUCCAGCAAAUUUUGUUUUUUUUGUUUUGAGAGGAACAUUUAAGGAGCUAGAUAAAACAGGUAAUUUUCUGAUGUGUGUAAGUCCCAUUGGUGGUAACCCUGCAAUUUUUCCUGCUUCAUAAAAUGUAUAGCAAAGAUGUUCGAAUGUCAAGAAUAAUUAGGAGUAUCUAGAGAUUGAUAAAGCUCUUCAUCUUAGUGGAAAUUGCAUCAUAACUUUCUAUUCUCAUGGUUUUCCUUGUACCUUGAAAUUGAGCAUCAGUAGAACUGGAGGCCUCGUAGCAAAGUUAAACUGAGUUACCACUGAGUUUUCAGGGUUCCUGAGUACCCCUUUGGUAUAUGUGUAGAAGAAAACCAAGUGACAGGAAUUUGCCCUUUUACGUAGUGGGAAGCAAAUAUGAUGUGAACCUGUGAUAAGUUAUGUCCUAUAUGACCAUGACAAGACAGAUCCCCUGAGACCGCUGUGUAGUGUGUGUUCAUGUGCAUGAAGAGGAUAAUCUUACAACUAGUGUAGUUUGCCAUUAUUUUUACUUUUAUUGCUGCUGGAUCUGCCAUGAAGUAGGAUAUGCCUCUAAAGUAAGGUGGUAUCUUCUAUUGGAUAACUUAUAUUUCUCUCAAAUAUGUUCCAAAGUUAAAUAUUAAAGUAGUGUAUAUUGUGGUCUUUAAAGGGUAUUGCUAAGGUAUUUUUAAGUGAUUUUUGACUGCGAGCAGUGGUUGUUCAACUAACCUCUUUUUAGUGAUGACUUUUAAAGAAACUUACCUUCCAGGUGUGAACCUCAAAUGGACUGAAUAACCUUGAGUUGGUUGCAGUCCCAGGAGCCUGAUGUUAAUGAGGCUGCCAGGAUGAAAUACUCCAGAACUGCUGGGGAUCCAAAUUCGGGUCUCACCCUAGCAGAACUGAUUCAAGAACGUCACAACUUUUGAAGUCGAUUGGCACAGAUCAAGACCAAGAUUUGGCCCUUUGUCUGUAAUAAGUAGAGGAACUUGGUGACGGGACCAGGGCCCUUGUACUCGGAGCCAAGCUGCUCUCCAGGCAUUGUGUAAGCCUCUUGUGUUGUGCUCUCUUUCAGGUAGGAUAAUUGCGGACUGAACCCUCGGGCUGCGGUCAUAUAUGAGAACUUGCUCCGCGCGGUCCCCUUUGCCGGGAUGUUUCCAUUGCUUCAUGUUUCAGUAAACAAAGGAGUUUGUGACCAACUAUGUUUUCUUUCUUAAUUUAAUUCUUCUAAGUUGACUUUUCUUUCCUCCUGAUACUAGUCUCUGUAGCCUUUCACUCUAUUCCUUAUGUUCUCAGCCUCUGAGCAGCCCUAGGUAAGGAUUAUACUGGCAUCCCCUUUUUCCUGUACAGUGGAAUCCCUCUUAUCUUGCUUUCCUUAGGAGUUGAACCCUUCUCCCUCUCUACCUGCAACAUCUCCUUUCCCUUUAAAAUGACCAUGUAGUGGCAAGCAGCCUUUUACUCUUCUCUGUUAGCUCUGGACUCUAACGUUGAAGCUAAUCUUCUGAAAUUGCUAGGACCAUUGGGGUUUUGGUUGUUGUUUUGUUUUGUUUUGUUUUUUUAUGUCUGACCUGUGAUCAUGGUACAGCAUUGGCUGAAAUUUAGCCUUGUUUUACUCCACUUCUCUCCCUUUUUUUUUUUUUUUUUAAUAUUUUGACAAAUAAACGUUUCUAACACUUAA